CAUGCACUGGUGGGGUCCCUCGGCCUGGCCUGCAGGGAUCGGGCCAAAACCAGCUCUCCGAUAGCAGGCCAGGCCGAGGGACCCCACUGGUGCACA
rnacentral:pre_miRNA from 1 species